CUAUCGGACGGCACGUAACGCACGGCGCUGUAGCGGAUCCCCCUCCUCCACCUCUCUCUCCUCCAGGCGCCGCCGGUUCUCCUUUCCUCUCCUCUUUCGACUCCCUCCGCCGCCGCCGCCGACACGUACGGGCCAGGGUCCAACCACCGAAGCCAGGGUUAGCCGAGGACUGUCUGAGCAACGGUUUUCCGCACUGCUGCUUAUCCGCUGACGAAGAACUCCCACUAGCCCCAAAUCCCAGCGGAAGAUGCAGGCCAAGAAGCUGACGCUGCUGCAGACGGUGGCUGCCGCCGGAGUCUUCUCAGCCGUCUCCUUCUGGUACGGCUUCAUGUUUGGGAGGGAGUCUGCGCGGCGCGAGCUUGGUGGCAUCAUCGACGACCUUCGCAGCGGCUCCACAGCCACCUCUGCCGCGCCCUCCUCCGACUCACACGCUCACCCCAAACCAUAGUGUGAUCCUGCUCUACAGUGUCAAGGAGGUGGGUAUUAGAAGAGUUGCCAAGCAGUUCUGGUAAAAAGUAACAUUUUCAGAUGAAGAUCUAAGCAAUUAGUAGACCUAUGUUUAGCAGGUUUCCUUUUGUGCUUUUCUUACGCAAACAAAUUAUGCUACAGUGUGAUUUGGUCAUCAAUUCUUCCACUGUAUAACAAUGGUGUACAUUCGCUCUCCUGGCGCACCUAAGCUGGAAAGUGGUAGUGGAUAAUCCAAAAUAUCCGAUAUCUGUAUGCGAGAAAAUGCCUAUCCGUAUCUGAAA